rnacentral:rRNA from 1 species
UACGUAGGGCGCAAGCGUUAUCCGGAAUUAUUGGGCGUAAAGAGCUCGUAGGCGGUUUGUCGCGUCUGCUGUGAAAUCUGGAGGCUCAACCUCCAGCCUGCAGUGGGUACGGGCAGACUAGAGUUCGGUAGGGGAGACUGGAAUUCCUGGUGUAGCGGUGAAAUGCGCAGAUAUCAGGAGGAACACCGGUGGCGAAGGCGGGUCUCUGGGCCGAAACUGGACG